rnacentral:rRNA from 1 species
GGAGUCGUAAAGGGUACCCGUUAAGUUUUACCUCGGCCCGUACAUUUUUCUCCGGGCUGCCGGCAAGUGUCAAACGGGUGAGUAAUGCUUCGGAACGUGCCCAGUCAUGGGGGAUAACUACGCGAAAGCGUAGCUAAUACCGCAUACGCCCUGAGGGGGAAAGUGGGGGAUCUUCGGACCUCACGUGAUUGGAGCGGCCGAUGUCAGAUUAGCUAGUUGGUGAGGUAAAGGCUCACCAAGGCGACGAUCUGUAGCGGGUCUGAGAGGAUGAUCCGCCACACUGGGACUGAGACACGGCCCAGACUCCUACGGGAGGCAGCAGUGGGGAAUUUUGGACAAUGGGCGCAAGCCUGAUCCAGGCAUGCCGCGUGAGUGAAGAAGGCCUUCGGGUUGUAAAGCUCUUUCGCAAGGGAAGAAAACGUGUGGGCUAAUAUCCUGCGCGGAUGACGGUACCUUGACAAGAAGCACCGGCUAACUACGUGCCAGCAGCCGCGGUAAUACGUAGGGUGCGAGCGUUAAUCGGAAUUACUGGGCGUAAAGCGUGCGCAGGCGGUUGUGUAAGACAGGUGUGAAAUCCCCGGGCUUAACCUGGGAACUGCGCUUGUGACUGCACGGCUAGAGUACGGCAGAGGGGGUGGAAUUCCUGGUGUAGCAGUGAAAUGCGUAGAUAUCAGAGGACC